GGAGAGGUGUCCGAGUGGUUUAAGGAGCACGCCUGGAAAGUGUGUAUACGUUAAUCGCGUAUCGCGGGUUCGAAUCCCGCUCUCUCCG
rnacentral:tRNA from 1 species